AUACGGAGGGUGCGAGCGUUAAUCGGAAUUACUGGGCGUAAAGGGUCCGUAGGCGGUCUGCUUAGUCUGAUGUGAAAGCCCCGGGCUUAACCUGGGAAUGGCAUUGGAUACUGGCGGACUAGAGUCUGCUAGAGGGUGGUGGAAUUCCCGGUGUUGCGGUGAAAUGCGUAGAUAUCGGGAGGAACACCAGUGGCGAAGGCGGCCACCUGGACCAAGACUGACGCUGAGGGACGAAAGCGUGGGGAGCAAACAGAAUUAGAAACCCUAGUAGUCC
rnacentral:rRNA from 1 species